rnacentral:misc_RNA from 1 species
AACGCACCUUGCACUCUUUGGUAUUCCGAAGAGCAUGUCUGUUUGAGUGUCAUGAAACCCUCAACCCCCCUGUUUUGUAAUGGAGCAGGCGUCUGGGUUUGGAUCUGGCCGCUGCCGAUUCUAAUCGAAUCGACUCGGCUCAAAUACAAGAGCUGCCAAUCAAGACUGAUGGUCAACUCGGCGUAAUAAACUACUUUUCGCUGAGGCAUCAAUCUAAUGGCGCUUACAAUGCGUGCUUGCACACUAUACUUUAGACCUCAAAUCAGAUAGGACUACCCGCUGAACUUAA